rnacentral:misc_RNA from 1 species
GAUGAAGAACGUAGCGAAAUGCGAUAAGUAGUGUGAAUUGCAGAAUUCAGUGAAUCAUCGAAUCUUUGAACGCACAUUGCGCCCUUUGGUAUUCCAAAGGGCAUGCCUGUUCGAGCGUCAUUUGUACCCUCAAGCUUUGCUUGGUGUUGGGCGUCUUGUCUCUAGCUUUGCUGGAGACUCGCCUUAAAGUAAUUGGCAGCCGGCCUACUGGUUUCGGAGCGCAGCACAAGUCGCGCUCUCUAUCAGCAAAGGUCUAGCAUCCAUUAAGCCUUUUUUUCAACUUUUGACCUCGGAUCAGGUAGGGAUACCCGCUGAACUUAAGCAUAUCAAUAAGCGGAGGA